rnacentral:rRNA from 1 species
GACGUAGGGGGCCAGCGUUGUUCGGAAUUACUGGGUGUAAAGGGUUCGUAGGCGGUGUGGCAAGUCGGGAGUGAAAUCGUCUGGGCUCAACCCAGAGUCUGCUUCCGAAACUGCUGUGCUUGAGUGUGGGAGAGGCGCGUGGAAUUGCAGGUGUAGCGGUGAAAUGCGUAGAUAUCUGCAGGAACACCCGUGGCGAAAGCGGCGCGCUGGACCACUACUGACGCUGAGGAACGAAAGCUAGGGGAGCAAACAGG